GACGAACGCUGUCGGCGUGCUUAACACAUGCAAGUCGAACGGAAAGGCCCUGCUUUUGUGGGGUGCUCGAGUGGCGAACGGGUGAGUAACACGUGAGUAACCUGCCCUUGACUUUGGGAUAACUUCAGGAAACUGGGGCUAAUACCGGAUAGGAGCUCCUGCUGCAUGGUGGGGGUUGGAAAGUUUCGGCGGUUGGGGAUGGACUCGCGGCUUAUCAGCUUGUUGGUGGGGUAGUGGCUUACCAAGGCUUUGACGGGUAGCCGGCCUGAGAGGGUGACCGGCCACAUUGGGACUGAGAUACGGCCCAGACUCCUACGGGAGGCAGCAGUGGGGAAUAUUGCACAAUGGGCGGAAGCCUGAUGCAGCAACGCCGCGUGCGGGAUGACGGCCUUCGGGUUGUAAACCGCUUUCGCCUGUGACGAAGCGUGAGUGACGGUAAUGGGUAAAGAAGCACCGGCUAACUACGUGCCAGCAGCCGCGGUGAUACGUAGGGUGCGAGCGUUGUCCGGAUUUAUUGGGCGUAAAGGGCUCGUAGGUGGUUGAUCGCGUCGGAAGUGUAAUCUUGGGGCUUAACCCUGAGCGUGCUUUCGAUACGGGUUGACUUGAGGAAGGUAGGGGAGAAUGGAAUUCCUGGUGGAGCGGUGGAAUGCGCAGAUAUCAGGAGGAACACCAGUGGCGAAGGCGGUUCUCUGGGCCUUUCCUGACGCUGAGGAGCGAAAGCGUGGGGAGCGAACAGGCUUAGAUACCCUGGUAGUCCACGCUGUAAACGGUGGGUACUAGGUGUGGGGUCCAUUCCACGGGUUCCGUGCCGUAGCUAACGCUUUAAGUACCCCGCCUGGGGAGUACGGCCGCAAGGCUAAAACUCAAAGGAAUUGACGGGGCCCCGCACAAGCGGCGGAGCAUGCGGAUUAAUUCGAUGCAACGCGUAGAACCUUACCUGGGUUUGACAUGGAUCGGGAGUGCUCAGAGAUGGGUGUGCCUCUUUUGGGGUCGGUUCACAGGUGGUGCAUGGCUGUCGUCAGCUCGUGUCGUGAGAUGUUGGGUUAAGUCCCGCAACGAGCGCAACCCUUGUUCACUGUUGCCAGCACGUUAUGGUGGGGACUCAGUGGAGACCGCCGGGGUCAACUCGGAGGAAGGUGGGGAUGACGUCAAGUCAUCAUGCCCCUUAUGUCCAGGGCUUCACGCAUGCUACAAUGGCUGGUACAGAGAGUGGCGAGCCUGUGAGGGUGAACGAAUCUCGGAAAGCCGGUCUCAGUUCGGAUUGGGGUCUGCAACUCGACCUCAUGAAGUCGGAGUCGCUAGUAAUCGCAGAUCAGCAACGCUGCGGUGAAUACGUUCCCGGG
rnacentral:rRNA from 1 species